rnacentral:rRNA from 1 species
UGAGGAAUAUUGGUCAAUGGGCGAGAGCCUGAACCAGCCAAGUAGCGUGCAGGAAGACGGCCCUAUGGGUUGUAAACUGCUUUUAUAGGGGAAUAAAGUGAGCCACGUGUGGUUUUUUGCAUGUACCCUAUGAAGAAGCACCGGCUAACUCCGUGCCAGCAGCCGCGGUAAUACGGAGGGUGCAAGCGUUAAUCGGAAUAACUGGGCGUAAAGGGCAUGCAGGCGGUUUAUCAAGUAGGAUGUGAAAGCCCCGGGCUCAACCUGGGAAUUGCAUUCUAAACUGAUAGACUAGAGUAUUGCAGGGGGAGACGGAAUUCCAGGUGUAGCGGUGGAAUGCGUAGAUAUCUGGAAGAACACCAAAGGCGAAGGCAGUCUCCUGGGCAAAUAC